rnacentral:rRNA from 1 species
UACGGAGGGUGCAAGCGUUGUCCGGAAUCACUGGGCGUAAAGGGCGCGUAGGCGGCUCAUGAAGGCUGUGGUGAAAGUCCGGGGCUCAACUCCGGAUCUGCGGUGGGUACGGGCAGACUAGAGUGAUGUAGGGGAGACUGGAAUUCCUGGUGUAGCGGUGAAAUGCGCAGAUAUCAGGAGGAACACCGAUGGCGAAGGCAGGUCUCUGGGCAUUAACUGACGCUGAGGAGCGAAAGCAUGGGGAGCGAGCAGG